rnacentral:rRNA from 1 species
AUUGAACGCUGGCGGCAGGCCUAACACAUGCAAGUCGAGCGGAUGAAGGGAGCUUGCUCCUGGAUUCAGCGGCGGACGGGUGAGUAAUUCCUAGGAAUCUGCCUUGUAGUGGGGGAUAACGUCCGUAAACGGGCGCUAAUACCGCAUACGUCCUGAGGGAGAAAGUGGGGGAUCUUCGGACCUCACGCUAUCAGAUGAGCCUAGGUCGGAUUAGCUAGUUGGUGGGGUAAAGGCCUACCAAGGCGACGAUCCGUAACUGGUCUGAGAGGAUGAUCAGUCACACUGGAACUGAGACACGGUCCAGACUCCUACGGGAGGCAGCAGUGGGGAAUAUUGGACAAUGGGCGAAAGCCUGAUCCAGCCAUGCCGCGUGUGUGAAGAAGGUCUUCGGAUUGUAAAGCACUUUAAGUUGGGAGGAAGGGCAGUAAGUUAAUACCUUGCUGUUUUGACGUUACCAACAGAAUAAGCACCGGCUAACUUCGUG